rnacentral:misc_RNA from 1 species
AAGUUGUAACAAGGUUUCUGUAGGUGAACCUGCGGAAGGAUUAUUACUGUAGGGCUUUGGCCCUAUUAAGAUAGCACCCUUUGUUUAUAAGUACCCUUGUUUCCUUGGCGGGCUUGCCUGCUAGUAGGACAUUAAAAACCCUUUGCAGUAGCAGUAACUUUAGUUAAAAAAUAAAUAUUAAAA